CUUAAUGGUGCAUCUACAACAAACUCUGAAUUUGAUCCAAUCAAAUUUGAUUCUAUGGGUUCACUAGAUUGUGUCGGUUCUUCGACUCAUCGAACUUCAUCAAGCUCGACUUUAGAAGCACUAACUCUUUCACUAGAGAAUUUUUUUUCUAAAAAGUGUGCUUUAUUGCUAAUGAAUAUUUUCUAUUCAUCAGCAAGGUAGAAGUAAUACCCC
rnacentral:lncRNA from 1 species